ACAAUCACAAAGUAACUCACAGCCACAAGAUAAUGCUGCUCAAAAUUCUCAAACUGGUUCAUCUAGAGAUGGAGGAGAUGUGGAACUUGAUGUGGAUUUCCCUAAUGUUGCUGAUUCUUCAAAUACAGCUUCUUUUGGUGGUACUUCUGAUGAUGGUGGCUUUGGAUUACCUGUUUAUGAUGGAGAUGUUGGAACACUUAAUGAUAAUUAUGAUUUUUGA